rnacentral:misc_RNA from 1 species
CCCCCCAAUCAAGUAUCUGUUUUUUCUGAUGCUUGGAAUGCUUUGGAGAGGUGUCUUGUUAUAGAGCCGCCCUCUAGAAAUUAAUAGGCAGUAUGGUUUGCACCUGAACCAGACGUAAUAAUAAUAAAAUCGUUUGUUUGGGUAUGAUUGUGCUUGCCUUAACCCACCCAUUUUUCUCAUUU